ACGAACGCUGGCGGCGUGCUUAACACAUGCAAGUCGAACGGAAAGGCCCCUUCGGGGGUACUCGAGUGGCGAACGGGUGAGUAACACGUGAGUAACCUGCCCUUGACUUCGGGGUAACUUCAGGAAACUGGGGCUAAUACCGGAUAGGAAUCCUUGCUGCAUGGUGGGGGUUGGAAAGCUUCGGCGGUUUUGGAUGGACUCGCGGCGUAUCAGCUUGUUGGUGGGGUAGUGGCUUACCAAGGCUUUGACGGGUAGCCGGCCUGAGAGGGCGACCGGCCACAUUGGGACUGAGAUACGGCCCAGACGCCUACGGGAGGCAGCAGUGGGGAAUAUUGCACAAUGGGCGGAAGCCUGAUGCAGCAACGCCGCGUGCGGGAUGACGGCCUUCGGGUUGUAAACCGCGUUCAGCAGGGGCGAAGCUUGUGGUGACGGUACCUGCAGAAGAAGCACCGGCUAACUACGUG
rnacentral:rRNA from 1 species